GACGAAGGUGGCGAGCGUUGUUCGGAAUCACUGGGCAUAAAGCGCACGUAGGCGGUGACGUAAGUCGGGUGUGAAAUCCCUCGGCCUAACCGAGGAACUGCGCCCGAUACUGCGUUGCUUGAGGACUAGAGGGGUGCAUGGAAUUUCCGGUGGAGCGGUGAAAUGCGUUGAUAUCGGAAGGAACUCCGGCGGCGAAAGCGAUGCACUGGCUGGUUUCUGACGCUGAGGUGCGAAAGCCAGGGGAGCAAACGGG
rnacentral:rRNA from 1 species